rnacentral:snRNA from 1 species
AAUCUUACCUGAGUAGGAGGUAAACCGUGAUCAAUAAGGUGGUUGCACAGGGAUGAGGGCCUACCAUUACAUUUAGGUGGGAUUAACUCCUCCAUUAUCCCAAAUGUGGAUAAAUAGAUACCAUAAUUUCUAUUUUGGGUAUAUGCGUGCGUUGCUAAUCCCCU